CCCUGCAUUCGAAAGUGAUUACGGUCCCGCCCGUGGCCGGGUCAUUGAUAGUGCAGGGAGAGGAAUGCGAGAGUUUUCCCGUGUUUGGGGGAGGGGUCUAUGUCUCCCCCAAACCCUGUUACUGUCGGACA
ensembl:snoRNA SNORA71 Small nucleolar RNA SNORA71